AUGACAUUAUAUCCUACUAGCAUCUUAGAGGUUUUGUGUUCGAUUCCCACAAGUGGGAUAUUGUUGGCUAGUGGAGAUGAAUAUGAUUUAGUGGUUCUGCUGGUGGCAUGAUGAUAUUUCAGUGGUUCGUCAGUGAUCCAAAUUUGUCGUUAAAAAAAGUUAUUUAAAAGGCAAAUUAACCCUUGGCCCAGACAUUUAUGGCAAAUGAUUAUUUAUCAGUUAUUUAAAAGGUAAAUUAGCCUUUGACCCAGACGUUUAUGGAAAAAAAAGGAUAUGUGGUUUUUAAGAUUUUAGGAAAAGUUUUAUAAUAAGUUUAAAGGAUGAGUAACGAUACUUUAAAUAAUCCAUUAAAGAUACGAUGGUGACUAUAUCAUAAGUAGGAGAGUUGGUAAAUCCAGUGCAGAAUCGAUUUAAGUAGAUAAUAUAGAAAUUGUAUAUGCAUUUGUACAAUUAAAUAUAAGUUGAGUUAGAAAUAGAGUAAGGUACACAACUAUAUAAACUUUUUAUAUAUCGUAGAAAAAACAUAAGGUAUAAAUGUUUGUAAGUUUCUUAUAACUAGAAUUACCAUACGCCGCAUUGCUGCGGGGAUUCGUUAGUUAUAUAUCAUAUUAGAUGAAAGUCAAGUGUUUCUUACAUGACCGCGAGCCUGUGUGACUGUAAAACAUAGAAAAGAAUAACUAAGUCGAUCUAUGACUCGCGCGUUGCGACAUACCUAUCAAACGAGGAAAAAUAGACGUGCUGCGACGAGCCUGUCAAACGGGAAAAAGUAGAUGAAAUAACGUUGAACCCCACACACGUUGCGGCGUGUUAAUUCGGAAAAUCUAGAACGAAAGUUAUACAGAAAACUUGUGAAAGAUUAAAAGUAUAACCAAAGUUGCAAAAGAUGAAAAGCUUUGGGUUA
rnacentral:lncRNA from 1 species